rnacentral:rRNA from 1 species
CAAAUCACAAAACUAACUCUGGCGGCGUGCCUAAUACAUGCAAGUAGAACGCUGAAGGAGGAGCUUGCUUCUCCGGAUGAGUUGCGAACGGGUGAGUAACGCGUAGGUAACCUACCUGGUAGCGGGGGAUAACUAUUGGAAACGAUAGCUAAUACCGCAUAAAAUUGAUUAUUGCAUGAUAGUCAAUUAAAAGGUGCAAUUGCAUCACUACCAGAUGGACCUGCGUUGUAUUAGCUAGUUGGUGGGGUAACGGCUCACCAAGGCAACGAUACAUAGCCGACCUGAGAGGGUGAUCGGCCACACUGGGACUGAGACACGGCCCAGACUCCUACGG